GCCGCGGGGUGAUCUGCGAGGUGUCCGAAGCCAAAUCGGACCUUGAUGGGUCAGUCGGGGGCUCCAGAUUCUUGGCAACUGGACUGAAGAAAUUAUUUUGGGAAAACCCCAAAGUGAGAAAAACAAGUGCUGAGUAAUUUUCUUGGGUGUGCGCCCAUCAUGCACUGCAAAAUGCGAAUGUUUGCUUUUUCCUAAGAUGCAGUGACUUACUUAGACACAGUAACUGCUUCUCUGGACAUAGGUUGCCUUGCUUGCUUAAAAGGAACUCAAGAGAGGGAACUAGAUGCCCUGUGAGCGCACUUAGCAGGUGUGGGCAGGCGACAUCGCUCUGGGAUUCCCAGUGAAUGUGCCCCCAAGUGGGAGGGAAUGUUUUUAUUUAAUCCUACCUAACUCCUACGGGUGCUAAAAGUGUCUGCAUUUAGGUUUGUCCAGGGAGGAUAUAGAUCUAUAAAGAUCUGGAUUGAUCAUAUGUUCUCACAGAUCUGUGUACCGGCAAAGAAAGUUAAACCAAAUUCCCAAAGGUGUGUCAAGCUGUGGGCACAAAAUUAGAGUCUCAUCCAUCGUCUUCAGUGUAAACUGAGUUGUUUGAUCAGUGACUUUGAGAUUUGGGGAGAACCAUGACAUCAUCACGACUCAGCCUUUUCCAUGCAGAGCUGGCUAACCCGCCUGUGUCUCUGUUACUCUGACUCUACCUUCUCUCUCAAGUCCUUACUUGAGGUUCCGGAGGUGGGCCCCUGCUGUGAUCUCCUACUGUGCCUCCCCCAGUAUUUCCUUCUUUUUUCUCCUAAAGAUCAUUUGGUCCGGGCGCGGUGGCUCACACCUGUAAUCCCAGCACUUUGGGAGGCUGAGGCGGGUGGAUUACGCGGUCAGGAGUUCAAGACCAGCCUGACCAACAUGGUGAAACCCCCAUCUCUACUAAAAAUACAAAAAUUACCUGGGUGUGGUGGCACGUGCCUGUAGUCCCAGCUACUUG
rnacentral:lncRNA from 1 species